GUCUGGGAGGCACUGUGGGGAUAAAGGUAAGAGCAAUACAGUAGGAAUGUGGAGACUGGCUCUACCAUGAAAUUUACCAUGUGAAAGUGCACAUCAAGUGAUGAACUUCUUCAUGCCUCAGUUUUCUCAUUUACUGUGAAAUGUUUGGAUUGGACUAUAUAACCUCUAGAUCCCUUCUAUCUAUGAAAGGCUAUAAUUCAGUAUUAUGAAGGCUGUAUGCUCAAGUCCUUGGAAACUGAAUGGGUCAUACUCACUUCUAUUUAUAAUUUGGUUUUUAUCUUUGCACUCAAUGCUCUUUGGAGAAAUGUAGAUUUCCAUUCCUAAAUUUUUCUAACCAACAAAGGAAAAGCUCUAUUUUAGUUUGUUUGACAAAGAAACGUCUAUAACUAGAUUGAGUUUCCCAUAUAAUAUUUGCUUUGCCUUCUUCCAUCUUUGCCUAAAAAAGGAGUUUCUAAAAAACCAGAAAUGCUUUCUGUACUCAGGCAUAGCAGGAAUGAGGCUGCCUUGGCUGAAGGAAGAAGAUGGUGCAUAUCUGGAGCCCCAGUGGAGCAGGACUAUUUGCCAUCUGCUGCACUAGUUGCCUCGUCUCCAUAUCAGGCCUGGUCUGUAGUUUGCUGCAAAUACUAGGAGCCGAGCCACUUCCCACCCAUGGCAAGCCUUGAACCCUUUGUAUUCUGGCUGCCAAGAUGAUCUGAAAGCAGGGAGCCACUUUUCAGCUUAGGGAAAAACAUGUGCAUUAAAUGGAAGUAGAUUCUUCUUUUCCCUCCCUCUUGCCACUCCCAGCCAUUUUUAAAGCUUUAUACUAAAAAGGAGGAAGAUCCGUCUGACAAAGCUGAGGAAGAUGAUGGAAUUGCCAGGCCAGAAUGGUUUAUUAAUGAUCCAUGGGAAAAAAAACAAUUGUCCUGCUGGCAGCUUCACAUGUAAUUAACCAGCUUCACAGAGAGCUGGCUGCCUUCUCCAGGCCUGGCAUCCGCAUACUGCAGAGCUACCUGACACAGCAACACUGGGUUUCUAACAAAAUCUCGCUACUGGGAGAGGGGCAUCUAAAAUAGUGACCUCAACCCACUCGGCGCUCAGGAAACAAGACUGAGAUGGCAGUGCUCCUCCGGAGAAGGCUGGCUGUGUGCUCGGGCUGACACAAAGACUGCGACCUCCAUGCUGGCAACAACCAGCCCUGGGAACUGCCACUCCCACUGCUCACCAUUAACUGCCCACUCAGGUAAGUGGCUGAGCAGGGUUCUCUUCCAGGUAGCCCUCCAAAUGCAGCCUCUCUGCCAAAAGUCUACAUAGGCAGGAGUUUCUGGGAAUUGGCUCACUUUAUGCCACAGCAGCAAACUUCAGCACUGAUGGGAGUUGAGAGGGCCUGGUGACCACACUGGGUGUGGGGGACAACAGUUGCUUCUGUGUAAGAACCAACAACCUUCAAAAUAUGGUACAUAAAGGAGAAGCAGCAGCUGGGUUAGCCAAGCUUUGGCUUUGUAGUCAGUGCCAACUUCCCUCUUAAGAGUCCUGGGAUUCAAAGAACCCUGGUCCUCCCACCAGGUGAGUGAACUAAUACAUAUUUGCCAUUCGCAAUGCACAGUUUUUAAAAUGUGCAUGUAAGUGUGUGGCAGCUAACUGUCCUAUUUGGGAGGUGGGGGGAGGAUACCCCAUUACCUUUCCCCAAAUGAGAGUCAAGAGACUGUUCCCAGUGAGGCUGGUCAAAACACACAUGCACGCACACACACACAAGGAUCCACCAUUACCUUUUCCAAGUGAAAGUCAAGAUACUGUUCCCAGUGAGGCUGAACACACACACACACGCACGCACGCACGCACCCUUCCCAUGCUUGUUUCUCUAGGGCAGAAAAAGAAGCUGAGAAGAACUGUCUCCACUCUACAUUCCUGGUGGAUACAGAACCCUCUAAGAACAAGAACACUUCCUUCACCCACAGCCCUGCUAAGGCCAGACCCUGGGCACCUCACAUUCCCCCAGGGUCAGCUGAAGUUACUACUUGAAGGCUCAUGAAGGGAAUGACAAACCUUUGCACCUUUGGCAAAAGCAGAGCCAGUUCACAGGGGUCAUGGACUUUUCACUCAGCACACUCAUUUUACAUUCUGUGGAAAAAGAUAACAAAGGAAGGCUGUGUCCUUUAGAAAAAGGUCGGGGGCUGGGGGUGGGGACUUGAGAAGUGCUGGGGGAGACUGCAGCUCCAUCAGCUGAUGCCGUAUUGCCUCUGCUAGAGAGCCCAGCACAGGUGGGGAGCUCCUCAAAUAAAGCAAGCCUCGGAGUUGGAGACCAGGCUCCACAGCAGUUUUCCUGUUCAGUACCUGCAGUCUCCUUCUUCACCCAGCUUUGAUUACAGGAGUCAAACACAGUGGUUCUCUCAUUCCUAUCAAAGCAGGUUGGAAAAAGAAGUAAUCCCAACUGUAAAUCAGCAACCUAACAGGCAUUGGGAGAGGUCACUGGUGGCUUGGUAGGAAAUGGAUAGCUCAUGACAAAUGAAUUGGUACUGCCUGCCAUUUUUUCUUGCCAUCACUUGAAUCAAUAAGGGAAAAGGUGAAUUGCUAUUGAUCUCUUCAACACCUUUCAACGAUACUGUACAAAUUACAGAAACACAAGGGGGCGGGUGAAAGAAUGAAAGAGGAAGGACAGAUGAAAGACUGUCUGGGCGGUGUAAGCCUGCAUGUAUUUCCCUGGAGGCAGUCUUCCAGUCACUGGGUGUUAGGCAUGCGUGGGUGCACAUGUGAGUGUGGCAUGAAGAGCCCUUUCUCACACCUGGAAGGGCUGAAGGGCUGGCUACGGAGGGCCCCUCUGCACCUCACAUGCUGGCAAUGCUCCAACAGGGCUACUUCGCUUGAUACAAGGCUAGAUUAUUGAGAGGUGCUGUGAAUCCCAAGGCCUCAUGAAUUUUUGAAGUUGUCACACGUUAGUGGUGUUGGGAUAGGCUAUCUCAACAACUGACUAUAAUUCUGGACAGGAAAGCAAGAAUCAAAAGCUUCAAGGGCAAUCUCUAGCUAUACCUUACUAACCUCACUCCCUGGCUGACAUGCCCAGAAAAUAUAGACAGACAGCAAAUAAGGCAAAGCUAUCUUGCUUCGUACUUGAAAAUAACAAAGAUUACGGCAGCUAGGGCACAGGCCUGUCCUUUUAAACACUCUGGGCAAAAGACAUGGCAUGAAUAUCAGAGGCCUGGGUCCAAAUGUUAGAGGUCUGGCUGUAAACCUAGGGUGAAACGGAUACUGACCACACAGGCAAGAUUGCAAACUCUAUGUAAAUACGGCCUUAUGCAGACAACCAGGAAAUAAGACACACGGUUAUGAUGGCUGGGGAUAACAACCCAUAACACAAAGAUGAACAUCUGAUGUCUGUUUUCAUCUUUAGCUCAGGAAUAGUGCAACCAGAGCGGCAAAGACUGAAGGAACCCCUAAGUCCUCUGGGACAGAUUCUCUUUAGGAUAUGCUGCUUAUCAGAAGCCAAAGUCAGUACUCUACUCAUGUCCAGAAAAAGGCAAUGCAAAAGAUUUCAUGGCAUAGAGAAAAGGAAAUAUUGGCCAAAGUUUAGUCCAAUGGGGAACAUCAUGGUCAGAUCUCAGGGUCCCAGGCCAACAGUUCUCCUAUUCUACCAACUGGGCAUAAUUAUUCAGUUGCUGGUGACAGAAAAAAAUGUUCUGACCAGAGGUCCCUCUUCAGGUCACACAGCACUCUUAGUGCAUCAUCUGGGGUCUGGGUGUCCUUAGAAACCUCCCCACCACACCUGAGUAUUCACCUUUUAGCAUUCUCUAGGCAAAAGAGGGCUUAGUUCUUCCAUUUUGCAGCUGGCAAAACCAAGGCAGGCAGUCACUGACAUGUAAAAACAAUGAGAGCCCUUCACAACGCUCCUGGCACCCUUGCUUAAUCUCCAGAAACUGACUCAGGGUAUAACUGUAUCAUUCAGAAAUCAGUUGAUAUCACAGUUAGCCAGUCUACCCAUCUUCCUCCCACAAAUACAUCAAGGGCCAAAACAUAGGGCAAAAAAAAAAAAAAAAGAAAGUAAGUUACAAAGCUGCUGAUGUGUUAGAGUGGAAAUGCUGAGAUUAGGAGGAGGAAGUGGUUAAGUGCACCCUGGGUGUUUGGAAAUGGCCACGUCUGCAGCCCUGGAAGCUGAUGAAGAAGGAGCUCUAGCCCUCUCUGCCAGGCAGGCCACGAGACCAGCCCCUCACUCCAGAGAGAACACUCACCAAAGCUCAAGAAGCAGUGACUAUUCAGGAUGAUUACAGAGUUUCAGCUUGCUUUUCAAGUGGCUCGGAAUAAAGAUGCCUGGAUCUAGAUCUUACUAUCAUACAGCUUUAUUUGUAAAGAAGAAAAUAUGCAACUCUUCCUGAGAUCUGAUACAGGCCAACUUCUUCUGCCUAGAUGAAUCAAACCCAGUCUGCCCAAAGAAAAUGUAGCAGAUCUUCUCGGAAACUCAAAUGCCAUCGCCCUGAGGAAAACUUUUCCAUUCAACAAUUGUUAUUUGCUCUGUAUUCUCAUACUAGGUGGCCUAUGCUUUUGAUAACUGCUCUUUCAUAUUUCCUUGUUUACAUUAUUUGUAUGGCCAUCUACAUAACUAGACUAAAAGAUAUUCGAGGGAGAAGUUAUCCUACUAAUUUAUGUAUCAUCCAAAAUUUAUCUAUUGAAGACUACUUUUCUUAAUCUGUGCUUGUAAAAAUCUUGUACUCAUUAAAAAACACUACCCAAAUCUGUUCAUUGUGUUAAUUCUUUCCUGUAAGUGACUCUCCAGGAU
rnacentral:lncRNA from 1 species